rnacentral:rRNA from 1 species
UACAGAGGGUGCAAGCGUUGCUCGGAUUUACUGGGCGUAAAGCGUACGCAGACGGUCAGGCAAGUCGGGUGUGAAAGCCCCGGGCUCAACCCGGGAACUGCAUUCGAUACUACCUGGCUCGAGUAUGAGAGAGGAAAGCGGAAUUCCUGGUGUAGAGGUGAAAUUCGUAGAUAUCAGGAGGAACACCGGCGGCGAAGGCGCUUCUGGCUCAUCACUGACGUUCAGGUACGAAAGCGUGGGUAGCAAACAGG